rnacentral:lncRNA from 1 species
GGGGGUGGGGAUAGUUCCAAAUUGCUUUCCAGAGUAGCUAGAUGAAUUCACGUCACCAACAGUGAACACUUAGUAUGCCUAGUUUCCUGCAUUAUUGUAAAAUGUCAUCUUAAUUGGUCUAAUAGAUGUGAGGUAGAACCUCAAAUUUGCUUUAAUUUGCAAUUUGCUAUUAAUGACUUAAGACUAUUUUGUUCAUGAUUGAUAUUUGGAAUUCAUGCUUUGAAAACUUCCUAUUCAUAUCAUUUUAUCUAUUGGGGACUACUUUUAGUAUUAUAAAUCUGACUUAGUUUCUUAUAUACCUUGGUUAUGAUACAGAGAAAUUUGUUGAAGAUAUAUUUCCACUUUCCUUUCUAAUUUUUACAUUAGGCAUGUACAAAAUCUUAAACUUUAUGUAAUGAAAACUGCCUAUUUUAUUUUGUCUAUUUAGAUAUGAAAUUUUCUAUGCAAGAGCUGAAUGGUAAUUUCUUCCUUAGUUGUCUGUUUCUAAUUUGACCUUUUAUAUGUGAAUCAUAUAUCUAUUUGGAGCUUUAUUACAGUAAGAGGUGUUGGUCUAAACAUAAUUUUUGUGGGUUUGAUUCAACAUAAGAACUUUCCUACAAAUGGAAAUAUUAAAAAGUAAUGCACCAUUUCAUUAAUACUGUGUUCUCUUUUUGGGAAGUACUUAAAUAUUCAAGGAAUUUUUGUAAUGAACAGGCCAGACUACUUGGUCUUUAAAGCAGAAUGUAAGCUCCUUUAGGGUAAGAAUGUUUUAAGAUUUUUUUUUUGUUGUUGUUUUUGGAUUAGUGCUACACAUAGAGCAGAUGGUAGAUAAAAAUGUUUGUUGAAUAAAUUAAACUCUCUCCUAACCACAAAAGAGCCUGUACCAUUGAGACAAGAUUAUUAUGAACAGCUACCAGUUUUGUCUCUUCCCAGUUCUCCUUCCUUCCUGUGUGUCUGGGCUUUCUUGGGAUUUUCCCAAAACUCAGGGUAAUUGGCAGGGGGAUCAAAGAAUAAAGUGUCUAUCCUAGGCUCAAAAUAGUUUAGUGAGAUGUGCUGAGUGUCAGGAGAGCAUCCUGCAAGGAAAAGAUACAUGGGAACUCAAUUUUCCACCUUGGAAAUGAGAGGGCCGGGAACUUUGAGAUAAGCAGGCUUCUUCAUCACACCUGAGGCGCCCUUUUGUGUUAACUAAUUCAGGGAGUAAAAAGGCUUUGUACUUACUGGAAGGGCCAUAGGACUUUCCCAAAGAAGGGAAACAAAUUAUAGGAGAAAUAUUAACCACAGACUACUGAGAAGUUCUUAGAUCCAAGGUGUUCCUGUGCCAAGCUUAGAGGUAUAGAAACACAAGUAGAUGGAGCAGUGAGAUAAAAGUGGGAGUAAAAAUUUCUUGACCAAGUCCAGAGCUUGUGUCAGGGUAGAAGUUGUGGAAGAACCAGGGAGCAAAUCCAAACCUCAGCCUUCCCUAGUAUUUUGAGUGAUGCGGAUUGUGUAGGUUAGGUGGAGAAUGUUAACUCCAAUAACCCUAUUUGUGAAGGAAUCAAUUGACUAUAUUUGUUUCACAGAUUUUGCUUAGGAUAUCAAAGAUUGGAUCUGGUCCCUGGGAGUUCAGAUAUUGUCGGGGGUAAACCCUGAAACCAUGUCCCCUUUAACCUGUAAAAGAAGGGAGUUUUGGGGUCUCAGGCUCUCCCCUGGAAAGAGCAUACCUUUCCAAGACAAGCCCUUCCCAAGUAAGUGGUUUCAUUCAAUUGGAGAUCUUGGUCAAAUUACCCUCCAUUGAAACUCAGAUCUUUUGGGGGUGGCCUGGAUCCCCUUCAGGGAGUUUCCAGACUCUGGGGAAAGCCUUUAAACUCCCAUUUAAGUGAUUUUAUUCAAUUAAAGAUCUAAGCCCCAGGCACUGACAACUUUGAAGGAAUUCAAUUUUGAAUGUAAGUCUGAGCCUCAGAGGGCUAAUAAAAGACAACUAUGAACUCGGAAUCUUUGCAGAAGUUCAAAACAAGAUUAUGCUUGCUAAGGGAGUUCUCUCCUUGGCAAAGAUGCUUGCCAGGACUUUUGCCCACUGGGAAGAUAUUCUCUUCUCAGGUGUUAACCUUUGCCAUUUUCCUAAUAGGACCUUCCCACUAAGAAGUCUGUCUUCCUAGCAAAGCUGGCUUCUCAGUGCCAAUAAAAUUCCCUUUUGCCAUACAGUUUUUUGGGUUUCCAAAUUCUUUUGUAUUGGACCUGCGCUGACCAGAGGGGAUUCCCCACCCCAAUUCUCUCACCUCUUCAUUACCACUAGCCUUAUCAUUUGAACAUCAUCAAUAUAAGCUUGUAAUAGUUACCUGUUUCCUGAAAUCUUAUAAUUCCAUCAUUAGUAAGAUAAGUUUAGUAAUGUAGCUCUAAUUUGCCAGACAGAAGUAUAUUUGGAUAGUUUAACUCUACAACUACAUUUUGUUUUCUACAACUACAUUUUGUUUCACUAUGUUAGGCUGAAGCACAAAUCAAACUUAAGCAUGUUCAAAUUUCAUCAAUUUCAUUAACCACUAAAAAAGGUUUUGACAAUCAAAUGAAAAAAUACAAAGUAUUUCAUAGGAUCAUAGAUUUAGAGCUAGAAGGGAACUUGGAAGUCAUCUUGAGCAGAUGAAGCAAAAGCUUUCAGUUCCUUUAGUCUCCCUUAAUUAUUAUUAACCCUCAUGUACAUGGCAUCCACUAAUCAUAAUUCUGUCAGUCUUGGUUGAAAUUUAAAAACAUGACAACAACAAAAAAAGGAAACAUGAAUUAUAAUAGAAGGGUUUGUUCCACAUGAAGAUAAUAAAUUCAGAGUUUAACACCAUAGUAUUAAAUAGACCCCAAAAGGAUCUUGGAGAUGGUCUAGUCCUAUCCCUUUAAAACCCAGCAAGGUUAAAUAGUAAACCUAAGGUCCUAGAGGUGAUUCCAAGUCCCAGGUUCUUUUCACUAUACCACAGUACUCAAAGUGUAAUUAUAAUCAAUCAAUACCUGGUACAUGUCAAGCUAGUAUUCUGUUAAAUCAACGGUAGUUCUAGGUCUAGCAUUUCAAUGUAGUGAUUCCAAGUCCUCCUACUCAAGCCAAGAUUCCAUAACUGGGCCUGAGUUUUAUUUUGUUUUUUGCAAUUAUGAUAAUUUUUGGUUUCUUAAGCUCUGCACAACGAUGUCUCUUUUCAUGUCCUCAGGUUUUCAGUUAUCCAUUGAAAGAGAAAGUCAGGUUAAGUAGGGUUAGAAGGUGGGUAUGGCAAUCAUGCAUAGGCAACAUGGCUUUCGUGGUUUCCCUCCUUGUGCCCCCACCCCCAGUCCAAGUGUUUUUUUAAAGGGACCAGAGUGACCCAAAGGGAAGAUUCUGACUAGAUGUAAGGAUCCAUGAGUAAAAGAUUGCUGGUCCAUUGCGUAGUAAAAUAAUAUUGACUGCCCUUAAGAAACCAUUACAAGAAACAAGAUAAAGUUAUUUCCAAUGCAUAAAAAAAUUUAUAUAUACAAAACUAAAAAACUGAGACUUCUUUUAUGAAACUGCAGGUAGACAAAGCAGUUGAGGCUUAGAAACCAUCAUUCAAGUUUCCAAACAAGAGUGUGUAAGGAUACAUCUGCCAGUAAGACAAACUAUUCUAUAAAAAGAAUUUUUCUUAGAUUAGUUGUCAAAAGCCCAUUUCCUGGUAAAAAACCAUAACUGUUAUUACACAUAAACUAGUUAUACAUGUCACUACCUGGCACAGAAAAUCAAGCAGUCUUACAACACUUAAUAGAUAUAGUCAAAUAGCUAUUCAAGUAAUUACAAAAUUUGCUUACCAACCAAACCUGUGUUAAUCUUUUAUUUCCUGUAGAUUCAGCUACAUUAACUCACCCUUCCUGCUUGUUGACUUUUACAUUCCUUUCACUUAUGUAUUGAGAGACCAGCCAUUGUGAGAACUCUAAAUCCCCCCCCCCAAAUAAAUGUUCAGCAACAAUUACUUGGGAAAAAUAACAUUCUUUAGUGAGAUCAUUUCCUUCUAAUCCAUUUUAAGGCAAAAUGUGUCAAUGAGUGUAUAAUUUUUAAAAAUUUCUUUCAUAUAGAAAGGGAUCUUAACCCAAAUUUGCCGGUUAGCAAAAGACUUUUGCCUUUAAAAAAAAAAAAAAAGAAGUAGGUAUUCAAGACUUGCAUAAAAAUAAUUAAGAGGGGCAUCAUAGAAUAAUGAAAAAAAUUGGGUCUGGAAUAAUAGGCUUAGAGAUGGUAGGGAGUAUGGAGAUCUUCAAUCCUCUCAUUAGGGAAAAAAUUAAGGACCAGAUAAAUUAGGGGUAAAAUAGCACUAAACCAACAAGGGAACUCAUUCCAGAUCGGACUCACUUCUUUAAUAAAAAAAAGUCUUUAGUUCAUCUGAAACGUUAGGUUUGCAACCAGCCGAGGGCACAAGAGCAAAAACUAAGGCGGAGGGUCCGAGGCGGAAUUGGAAAACGCUUGUCCCAGCGCAGGGGAUGUUCUCGCCUCCCCGGGCGAGACUCUGCAUCGCAGGCAGUACGCGGCGUAGAAGAUCGCGCCCUCUCUCAAAAUCCCUUCCAGGAGCCCGGGGCGCCCGGGGCUUCCGGGACCGGAUGUCUCCCCUCCAGAAGACCCUGCCGGGACGGGCUCUGCCGAGGGUCAGCCCGCCACGAAGCCUGGGCAGCCGCUUCUCGGCCCGGGUCUUUGUUCCAGCCUCGAGCCCGGCUUCUCCCACCCCGGGGUACCCCGGAAUACUAGGGCCUACUCCACCCCUCCCAAGGCCGCGCCUCUCGUUCCAGAAGCGCUGGGUCCGAGGAAACAAAGCCAGCCCCGAGGGUCCCGUUCCAGCCGCCGCCGCUUCCCCUCCGCGCGGCUCGGGCCCUGGGGAAAGCCGGCGGCCUCUUCCCCUUCCCCCAGUCCCGGCACCUCCACCUCGACCGGAGGAAGCGGCUAAAAGGAAAAAGGGCACGCAAACGGCCCGAACCCGGAAAUCACCCAGCCGGCUUCCCCCUCAUUGACCUCGUUCCUGAGGUCGUGGCCCCGCGUGGCCGCCGAGGAGGCCGGAAGUGAACCCUGCGCGCCGGCACCGGAGGCCCUUCUAGCCCUCUAGGCCCCUCGGGUUCCCAGUCCGGUCCCAGCCUCCGCGUCCCCGCCCUUGCUCAACUCUAUGGCCGAGCGGAAGGAGCUCGGGCUUCCUUCUUCCCGUUUCCGGUCGAUUGGCUGAGUCUAGGGAAGCUGGAGUCCCGCAAAGAAGGAUUUUUCCAAGGACAGCUACGGAGAUGAUUGAUGUAAAAGCUUGGGCUGAGUAUGUUGUGGAGUGGGCUGCAAAGGAUCCAUAUGGCUUUCUUACCACAGUGAUUUUGGCUCUGACUCCACUUUUUCUAGCAAGUGCAGUACUGUCUUGGAAACUGGCAAAAAUGAUUGAGGCCAGGGAAAAGGAGCAGAAGAAGAAACAGAGACGUCAAGAAAAUAUUGCAAAAGCCAAACGACUAAAGAAGGAUUGAGGAAAAAAUUAAGAAGAAAAUCUUUCUCAUUUAAAGAAUCCACAGUUAAAGAAAAAUUAUAUAAAAUGAUGCACUUCUUGAAGAAACACUAGGGUGCUUUUGUUGUAUUUUAUAACAGUAUUAUCCAACUAUUUGACCAUGUGAAAAAAUUGAAAUUCUGUAACUAUGUUAUAAUUUUUCAGCUUGGAUACAGAAACUUGUUGGUGCCUGUCAACUGACAUUUAUGUUGCAAAUUUCUUUGAACUCAUUUUGCUGUUGCUUUUUGGUAGCCCCUGUGCUAAAGUGAAUCUGUGUUAGGGAAGAAAAUGUCUUAAGAUGUGAUUUGUUGUCUACUGGUAGUUUUAAGUUUGGGGUCCUGUUUAUGGAUAAAGAUUUGAAAUAUUGAAAAUUAAGAUUUUUUUUCUUCACUGGGGGGGGACAGGAAAAAUAUUAAGACUUUUUUUUUCUUAAACAGUUUUCUUGACAUUUGGAUGGAUUUAUGAUUCAUUGAGUUGAAUAAUUUGCUCCACUAGGAUAUAUCACUUGACUUGCAUGUUUUUCUCAUCCUAUGCAAUUGUUGAUGUCAUUCCAUAAAUCUUUCAGAGAAGCCACCCGAUAAUGGUAUAGCUGUAUUCCUCUAGUUCUUUUAAUAUUGGUGCUUGGGAGAACUAAUGUAGACUUGGGCUAUCUGUUUUGUUUUAUUCACAAUAUUAAACCAGGCUACCUCUCUUUCUGAUCAUGCAUGUCUUUAUGAUACUUUAUGCUAUCCUAUAGAUUUUAUUCACAUUUGGUUUUUUUGAUGUGGAAUCAUUUCUGGGAACAAAAGCAAAUCUUGAUGAAGUAACAGCUCUGCAUUGUUAAUGUCAUCUAUACUUGGAAGGUAAUAAUAAUGUAAUUUGUAAGACAUUUCAUAUUUGAUUAAUUUUAAUAUACUGUGGAAUUGUUCCCUGCUUACUUUUUUUUGACAGCAUGUUAUAUAUUGAGCAAAUAGAGUUAUGUGCAGUUAUAAAGACUUCUGUCUUCCGUAGGAAUCAUCUGCAAAAAAGAAUUUAGGGUUGCUAUAAAUAUGCUAAACUUAAUACUAUCUGGCUUAUUCAUGCUCAUAUUGUACAGAAGAGUGAAAUGGUUAAAAAAAAGUUUUGUUAGCUGAUUCUUCUAAUACAUAUUUUUUAAUCCAUUAUUUCAUUUUAACCUAUGUGGUUAAUCUAUGUCAGGUGACUCCAUGUUACAAGUAAGUUUCUUGAGGCAUUUUAAAAACUAGUCCUAAAGACACAAAACCUAUUUUUAUUUGAUGUAUUUGGAUAAAAAGACAAUAAGGUAUGUAAAUUAAAUUGGAAUGAAAAUAGGUUGAUUGUUUUUAAAUUUCAAGAAAAAGGCUUUUUAAAAAAAAGUCCUUUCUUUUGUGAAAAAUAAUUGUCUAAUUAAAAUUUCAUGUAUGCUUUUUAUGACCUAGUCCAUUAUUAAAUUUUAAUGGCUAUGAUCAUUUUUUCCUUUGAAAUAAAUCUAAAAUUUUUUAAGUGUAUUAAUCUAGUAACUAUAAUUUAAGAAAUAAAUUAGUUAUAAAUAAAUUUGAUACUUUUUUAAGAUGUUGAUUGUCUUCAUAUUUAUUGAGUGUAAUGUUUAUUGUUUUUAAUCAAAAUACCACACAAAUUUCAUCAAAAAAAGAAAUCUGUGUGAAAAUUGACUACAUUUCUGAGAAUGGUAUUGACCAUUAUAAUCACUGAACUUCCUAGGAAGUAACAUUUAUACUACUUAGCCACCUUUUAUAGUGAUGUGUGAAAUCAUUUUUUAAAACUAUCAAAGAAUAACUUCAUUUUUUUACCUUGUAAUUGAUACUCAUAUUGAGUGGCAUACUUCAUCAUAUUUUGUUAGCACUAUCUUUCAUAGAGAACUGACAUGUAGACCUUUAGGAGGGCAUAUACUUUGAGUUUUUGUUAGUAGUGCUUUCUGCUUCUCUUUACACUAUACAAGUCAUAAGUUCUUUAUUGCUACAAGAAUCUUUAUAAUGUUAAUGAACACUAUUAGUACUUGAACAUUUUUUCACAGCAGGAUUUAGGGUUUUUUGGUUUUAUUUCUUUCUUUUGCAAGAAUACAUGGAUAUUAGUCUUUCUGGUCAGUAUUUUCCACUGUCUUCCCAGUUGAAACAAACAAGUAAUAAAUUCCAACUCUGUUAUUCCUGUGUUUGAAAUUUGUGCUCUCAAGUUAAUGAUCUAUACCAGAUAUUUAUCUCUUUUCAUUUAAUUGUGUCUAGACUUAUGAUAUCUUCUGUGAAAAUAAGUUAAAACUAUAAAGUACUAGUCAAUUACUAAAAAUAAAGUUUUUGAUGUAUCAUUUAAAACUGAGCCACAUUGUAGCUCCAAGUAUUUUCUUGAGAAUUCUCAAUAAACAAAUAUUUACUCUGCAUCUGUUCAGUGUGCAAGAUCAACCUUGAAGCUAGAGAAGCAAAGAAAAAGUGAAAAAUUCUUGUCAUCGAGAAGUUCACAUAUUGUAUGAUAAUGUACAUGUAAAUAUAGGGUAAUUUGAGAAAUUAAUUGAGGUGCCAGGUGAGAUUUUCUGAGUGAGUUGGAAAAAAAUUAAAAAUUCCUAGAAGCAGAAGUAAAGAAAGAAUACAUUGCUAUCAAGGACACGGAUGGGAAUUAUAGGUGGAAUUCCAGGUUCAGGAGAGCUAGUCGACCAGUUUGACUAGAAUGUGUAACGUGUGUGUAAAAUAAGGAAAUACAAUUUAGCACUCUGGAUUGUGGA